ACGCUGGCGGCGUGCCUAAUACAUGCAAGUAGAACGCUGAAGGAGGAGCUUGCUUCUCCGGAUGAGUUGCGAACGGGUGAGUAACGCGUAGGUAACCUGCCUGGUAGCGGGGGAUAACUAUUGGAAACGAUAGCUAAUACCGCAUAAGAGUAGAUGUUGCAUGACAUUUGCUUAAAAGGUGCAAUUGCAUCACUACCAGAUGGACCUGCGUUGUAUUAGCUAGUUGGUGGGGUAACGGCUCACCAAGGCGACGAUACAUAGCCGACCUGAGAGGGUGAUCGGCCACACUGGGACUGAGACACGGCCCAGGCUCCUACGGGAGGCAGCAGUAGGGAAUCUUCGGCAAUGGACGGAAGUCUGACCGAGCAACGCCGCGUGAGUGAAGAAGGUUUUCGGAUCGUAAAGCUCUGUUGUAAGAGAAGAACGAGUGUGAGAGUGGAAAGUUCACACUGUGACGGUAUCUUACCAGAAAGGGACGGCUAACUACGUGCCAGCAGCCGCGGUAAUACGUAGGUCCCGAGCGUUGUCCGGAUUUAUUGGGCGUAAAGCGAGCGCAGGCGGUUAGAUAAGUCUGAAGUUAAAGGCUGUGGCUUAACCAUAGUACGCUUUGGAAACUGUUUAACUUGAGUGCAAGAGGGGAGAGUGGAAUUCCAUGUGUAGCGGUGAAAUGCGUAGAUAUAUGGAGGAACACCGGUGGCGAAAGCGGCUCUCUGGCUUGUAACUGACGCUGAGGCUCGAAAGCGUGGGGAGCAAACAGGAUUAGAUACCCUGGUAGUCCACGCCGUAAACGAUGAGUGCUAGGUGUUAGACCCUUUCCGGGGUUUAGUGCCGCAGCUAACGCAUUAAGCACUCCGCCUGGGGAGUACGACCGCAAGGUUGAAACUCAAAGGAAUUGACGGGGGCCCGCACAAGCGGUG
rnacentral:rRNA from 1 species